CCUACGGGGGGCUGCAGUGGGGAAUAUUGGACAAUGGGGGGAACCCUGAUCCAGCCAUGCCGCGUGUGUGAAGAAGGCCCUCGGGUUGUAAAGCACUUUCAGUGAGGAAGAACGCCUGGUGGUUAAUACCCAUCAGGAAAGACAUCACUCACAGAAGAAGCACCGGCUAACUCCGUGCCAGCAGCCGCGGUAAUACGGAGGGUGCGAGCGUUAAUCGGAAUUACUGGGCGUAAAGCGCGCGUAGGUGGCUUGAUAAGCCGGUUGUGAAAGCCCCGGGCUCAACCUGGGAACGGCAUCCGGAACUGUCAAGCUAGAGUGCAGGAGAGGAAGGUAGAAUUGCCGGUGUAGCGGUGAAAUGCGUAGAGAUCGGGAGGAAUACCAGUGGCGAAGGCGGCCUUCUGGACUGACACUGACACUGAGGUGCGAAAGCGUGGGUAGCAAACAGGAUUAGAUACCCGGGUAGUC
rnacentral:rRNA from 1 species